AGCAGCCGCGGUAAUUCCAGCUCCAAUAGCGUAUAUUAAAGUUGUUGCAGUUAAAAAGCUCGUAGUUGAAUUUUGGGUUUGGCCGAUUGGUCCGUUCUUGUAGCGAGUACUGGUCGGUUGGGCCUCACCGCUUGGGGAAGGGUAAUGUCCUUUAUUGGGUGUUGCUCGGAGCCAAGACCUUUACCUUGAAAAAUUAGAGUGUUUAAAGCAGGCUUAUGCCGGAAUACAUUAGCAUGGAAUAAUAGAAUAGGACAACGAUUCUAUUUUGUUGGUUUCUAGGACCGUUGUAAUGAUUAAUAGGGAUAGUUGGGGGCAUUAGUAUUCAAUUGUCAGAGGUGAAAUUCUUGGAUUUAUUGAAGACUAACUACUGCGAAAGCAUUUGCCAAGGAUGUUUUCAUUAAUCAAGAACGAAAGUUAGGGGAUCGAAGACGAUCAGAUACCGUCGUAGUCUUAACCAUAAACUAUGCCGACUAGGGAUCGGGCGAUGUUGUUUCAAUGACUCGCUCGGCACCUUAUG
rnacentral:rRNA from 1 species